UCCAAGUCCAGGGAACAGAGUUCAGUUCUCGAAUCAGAGCAAGAGAGGAGACGCUAAAGCUAAGAAUAUAGGUGUGUGGGACUUAUCUGGGCGGGCAUCUUCACUCUUGUGUCAGUUCUCGAAUCUCAUAGAACAUGCAAAGCUCCAAUUCAAGUUCUGCAGUCACAGGUGUGUGUCCAUCAGUGUCCAUCUGUCUGUCUGCUGUCUGCAGGAUGAUGACUGACCUCUUCCUCUGUGGGGCUAAUGGUUACACAGAAAUGGAUGGUGAAUCUGUGGAUGUUCCUCUCUCUGUUGAGGAGACCAGACCAGAUCCAGUCCAGAGUUCAGUGCGUCCAUUCACUCUCUGAGGAUGAUGAGGAUGAUGAAGAAGAGCAGCAGCUUGAUGAGUCAAGAGUCCAGUUUCUCUGGACUUAUGAAAUGCUUUCCAUCUCUGAUUACAAAAAUCCCCAUGCCUUUAAAAGUUUUGCUCUUUACGGGUUUCCUGAAAUCAUUCACUUUUCAUUAAUCAAAUUGUUAAAAAAUUCUGUUUAA